rnacentral:rRNA from 1 species
CUACGGGGUGCAGCAGUAGGGAAUAUUGGACAAUGGGCGAAAGCCUGAUCCAGCAACACCGCGUGCACGAUGACGGCCUUCGGGUUGUAAAGUGCUUUUAGAGGAGAUGAGAAAGGACAGUAUCCUCUGAAUAAGCCUCGGCGAACUACGUGCCAGCAGCCGCGGUAAAACGUAGGGGGCAAGCGUUAUCCGGAUUUAUUGGGCGUAAAGCGCGUGCAGGCGGUCUAGCAAGUUGGAUGUGAAAGCUCCCGGCUCAACUGGGAGAGGUCGUUCAAUACUGUUAGACUAGAGAAUAGGAGAGGGAGGUGGAAUUCCGGGUGUAGUGGUGAAAUGCGUAGAUAUCCGGAGGAACACCAGUGGCGAAAGCGGCCUCCUGGACUAUUUCUGACGCUAAGACGCGAAAGCUAGGGUAGCAAACGGGAUUAGAUACCCGGGUAGUC